UACGUAGGUGGCAAGCGUUGUCCGGAUUUAUUGGGUUUAAAGGGUGCGUAGGCGGUCUUAUAAGUCAGUGGUGAAAUACGGCAGCUCAACUGUCGAGGUGCCAUUGAUACUGCAGGACUUGAGUACAGACGAGGUAGGCGGAAUUGACGGUGUAGCGGUGAAAUGCUUAGAUAUCGUCAAGAACACCGAUAGCGAAGGCAGCUUACUGGCUGUAACUGACGCUGAGGCACGAAAGUGUGGGGAUCAAACAGG
rnacentral:rRNA from 1 species